ensembl:lncRNA
AUGCCACAAGCCAUCUCGUCUUCCUCUCCUUGGUACGUCCACCUGAGCGGCCAGCUCAUGUCAGCCGGGGCCCCUCGCCCCCUUCACCGGUCAGCCGGCUCACCAGGUCCUCCGUUUCUAGGUCAGGGUGGCGGGAAAGUGGCUGUGAUGCAGAUAUGCUCAAGGAGAAGAAGUGGGGCAGGACACAAGGUCUUUCUUAAUGGAUUUUCACAGGAAGACCAGAGACUGACCGGGCUGCAGAGUGUCAAGCAUCGAAAAGCUCUCAGAACACAAAAGAUGUUUUGCAAAAUGUUCGGUAACAGUGCAUGUGUCCAUACAACAAAAGUGAAUGUGCAGUGUGGCACAGUCUGGCUGUUGGCUGAAGGGGCUGACAUUGAGAUGGUAGAUAACGCUCAAUGACGGAGAGGCCGUUUGCUGCUGAUCCUGGGGUGAUGAAUCACACGACCGGAAAGAGAUGAGCUCGGAGCGCCGAGGAGAGAAAUGUGAAACAAGAAGAUAGUCAGCGAGAGGCCAAAAUUAAGGCCCUGUCGAGACGGCGACGCAGGGCUGGCAGAGGGGGACAUGGCCGGCCUGAGAGGACCCCGUGUAGAGCCUGCAGGAGGGAGCGAAGUGUGAUAAGGGAAGGUAGGACUUAAUCUUCUAAAGUGCUGAUGGUGCUGGAUGGAGAAGACUACGGCUGGAACUGCCGCUUUCAAAAAAGAACGCCAUUAUUCACCAUCAGAGUGCAGGGCCUGCAAAGAUUGUGCGUCUGUGUGUGCGUCUAAGAGAUAGUGUGUGCGCAAAGACCUAUUUGUGUAAAGUAUGUAUAGUGUCCCUCGAAAUACCGAUUCCAGAUUACAAGUCACGGCGACAAACAAAUACAGCAGGUUCAGCCUGUGGGGUCACUAUGUGUGUGUGUGUGUGUGUGUGUGUGUGUGUGUGUGUGUGUGUGUGUGUGUGAGAGACAUGUUGAUUAACUCUGUCCAUCGUUUACAGUCAUGGCGUGAAAGAAUCUGCAUCGCUGCUAUUAACAUUAUGAGCAGACCAAAACAGAUUUUUCAAAAGCACGAUUUGCAUUAUAAAAGUUACAUUUUGAUUGGAUUAGCUAUAUUAAAAAAAGCGGUCUGAUAUACGCACACCUGUGAUGCAGAUUAAUUGAAUUAUAUAUUAAUGUAUCUAAUUUGCUUCAAACCAAAAAAAACAAAACAAAAAUAAAAGGGUUUAAGGGUUUAAAACUGGACCUUGC